rnacentral:ncRNA from 1 species
AUCAAAACGACGAACGAGAGAAGUAGGUAAUGACGGGUGUAUCCAGAGAGCCGCGGCAGGUGGAAAUGCGGCAGCACAGAAAUUACUGAAUGGACUUGGGAGUGCGGUCUGAAACCAUGAGGGAGUAGGCGCCGACGGGAGCCCCAUCCGUUAUCAGCGGGGUGCAUAUGAUGGUAUGUAAAAUGAGUGGGUGUGCUGUAAGGCAGUGCAUCAAUUUGGGUGGUAUCGCAGAAGUUACAGACUUUUGUCCCUUAG